rnacentral:lncRNA from 1 species
AAAUACACACCAGCUACUGAAGACCUCAUACAAUAAAAAUGCUGUAAAAUAAGCAUCCAAUUAACAACUUUAUAUUAAUUUCAGGUUAGAAUAAGUAUAUCUAAAAUAAAAUAAGAAUAUUUUAUAUAUACUAGUUAACAUAAAAUAUAUUUGAAUAAAUUUCACCUGGUUCUUUUACUUUUUUUUUUUAUAAGAUGGCUACAGGAAAAUCUAACCUCACCUUUGUGGCUCACAUCUGUGGCUGACGUAUUUUUGUGGACAAGGAUGAUCAAGAAGUUUAAAUAAUUUCACGAAUCAUUAUACUUUUUUCCAACUGAGUGCUGACAUAUGAAAAGUACAGAGCUAGUUUAUUGUUGGUAAGAUUUUGGUACGCAGCCAUAUGAUAUAGUAAGAAAACAUGAAGUUAUUAAAAAGCAGGUGCAUAGUGGUUAGGACAAAAUAUUGGGAAUGAGUUUCUUUUCUUCCCAGGUUCUGGAUUUAGGUUGCUGUGGGAUUAUAAAAUCUGAUGGUGAAACUACAAUUCACACUCUUCUACUGACCCCCAUUCCUUUCCUUUGUCCCCAGUAAGUUCCUUCUUAGAUUCUUUCAUACCUGAGAAGAAAUGUCAAGCUGGGUCACAGAUCAUAUAACAGGUAAUUUUAUAUAUUAAUUGGAUUAAUUAAACAAUUUUUAAAAUAACAUAUAACAAUUUUAAAAAUAACUAUGUAUAUAUCCCCUAAUUUAUCUGAUGUAAUAGAAUUCAUGUGUGUCUGGUUUGGGACACUAGCUAAUCUUAAGCUGCAACCUCUAACACAACCAGUGUUUAAAAACCACUCCCACAAUGACCACUCAUGGCUUGCAUUCAUGAAGGAUAGGACACGGCUCCUUUCCCAAUUACUCAAACUUGUUUUCUCUUGGCAUAUUAAAAACAAAGUAUGGUUUUAAAAACAAAGUAUGGUUUCUUUUUCCAUAUUAAAAACAAAGUAUGGUUUCUAAAAAUAAUAAAUUCAAAGAACGUAUUUUUGAAGCAGUCACCUUUCUCUCAAUUAUGUGGUGACAUAAUUAACCUUUAGAAAUGGAUACUGAUAAAACAAGGCAUGCUAAGAAUGCAAAGUAAUACACAGCAUCAAUUUAAGAGCAGGCCAAGGAGAAUCAGGGGCCAAAGAGAAAACAGUGGUAGUAAAACAAUCUGAAGCUAAGGAAAAACUUCACAAUAGCACAUAAUUUCAUCAUUGCGAGAGGUAGGCCAAAUAUUUGGCAAUGAGCUUUAAUAGCCAACAGAGAAAAGAGGAAACACGAUAUCAGGAAGUAGUCAUAGGGAUCAUGAGAGAAGAAUAAACCAGUUACUUUGGCACACUAUGUAAUUUCCUAAUAGUGAACCUGAAAAAAAAAAUUGCACUGUGGUUCUUUAAAAAGAACAAGUGAGGAGUGCCUAGGUGGCUCAGUUGGUUAAGUGUCUGCCUUCAGC